rnacentral:rRNA from 1 species
UACGUAGGUGGCAAGCGUUGUCCGGAAUUAUUGGGCGUAAAGCGCGCGCAGGUGGUUCUUUAAGUCUGAUGUGAAAGCCCCCGGCUCAACUGGGGAGGGUCAUUCGAUACUGAUCGACUCGAAGGCAGGAGAGGGUAGUGGAAUUCCCGGUGUAGUGGUGAAAUGCGUAGAUAUUGGGAGGAACACCAGUGGCGAAGGCGGCUCACUGGACCGGAACUGACGCUGAGGCGCGAAAGCGUGGGGAGCAACAGG